rnacentral:rRNA from 1 species
UACGAAGGGGGCUAGCGUUGUUCGGAAUCACUGGGCGUAAAGCGCACGUAGGCGGAUUUUUAAGUCAGGGGUGAAAUCCCGAGGCUCAACCUCGGAACUGCCUUUGAUACUGGAGAUCUUGAGUCCGGAAGAGGUAAGUGGAACUGCGAGUGUAGAGGUGAAAUUCGUAGAUAUUCGCAAGAACACCAGUGGCGAAGGCGGACUUACUGGUCCGGAACUGACGCUGAGGUGCGAAAGCGUGGGGAGCGAACGAGG